rnacentral:misc_RNA from 1 species
UCCUGGUUAACCCAGGCAGUCUCACUAGAGUUCCCACCUUAAAUGUUGGCAACUAGUGAUAAGGGUUGCGCUCGUUGCUGGACUUAACCAAACACCUCACGGCACGAGCUGACGACAGCCAUGCAGCACCUGUGCAGAGUCCCCGAAGGGCUAUACCAUCUCUGGUAUAUCACUCUGCAUGUCAAGCCUGGGUAAGGUUCUUCGCGUUGCAUCGAAUUAAACCACAUGCUCCACUGCUUGUGCGGGUCCCCGUCAAUUCUUUUGAGUUUCACUCUUGCGAGCGUACUCCCCAGGCGGUGUACUUAUCGCGUUAGCUUCGGCACAAUUGGGGUUGAGUCCAAUUACACCAAGUACACAUCGUUUAGGGCAAGGACUAC